GGUCAAGCUACUAAGGGCGUACGGUGGAUGCCUUGGCGCUAGAAGGCGAUGAAGGACGUGGUUAGCUGCGAUAAGCCUCGGGGAGCCGCUAGCAGGCUUUGAUCCGGGGAUCUCCGAAUGGGGAAACCCUCUGGGAGUAAUUUCCCAGAAUCCUCCGCUGAAUACAUAGGCGGUGGAGGCUAACCCAGGGAACUGAAACAUCUAAGUACCUGGAGGAGAAGAAAUCAACCGAGAUUCCGCUAGUAGCGGCGAGCGAAAGCGGAUCAGCCUAAACCGGAAGCAUAGCGAUAUGCUCCGGGGUUGCGGGAUGUUGUCGGGGCCUAGCCCGGGAAGUCAUAAAAACACGGUAUAGCAGAAGAGUUCUGGAAAGGCUCACCAUAGAAGGUGAUAGUCCUGUAAGCGAAAUGCCGUGUUCUUCCUGGACAGCACUCCCAAGUACGACGGGACACGUGGAACCUUGUCGGAAUCCGGGGGGCCCACCCUCCAAGGCUAAAUACUCUCUAGCGACCGAUAGCGUACCAGUACCGUGAGGGAAAGGUGAAAAGUACCCCUGUUAGGGGAGUGAAAUAGAACCUGAAACCGUAUGCCUACAAGCGGUGGGAGCACGAUGUCGGGAGGUUCGCCUCCUGGCCGUGUGACCGCGUGCCUUUUGCAUAAUGAGCCUAGGAGUUACUCUCAGUGGCAAGGUUAAGCCGAGAGGUGUAGCCGCAGCGAAAGCGAGUCUGAAUAGGGCGUUCGAGUCGCUGGGAGUAGACCCGAAGCCGGGUGAGCUAGCCAUGGCCAGGGUAAAGCUGGUGUAACAACCAGUGGAGGCCCGAACCAGUGUAGGUUGAAAACUGCUUGGAUGAGCCGUGGCUAGGGGUGAAAGGCCAAACAAACCCGGAAAUAGCUGGUUCUCCCCGAAAUGUAUUUAGGUACAGCCUCGUAUGUAUGCUCUCGGUCGUAGAGCACUGGAUGGACUAGGGGCCCCACCAGGUUACCAAACCCAACCAAACUCCGAAGGCCGGGAUGUCUUGUACGGGAGUGAGUCCGCGGGUGAUAAGAUCCGCGGUCGAGAGGGAAACAACCCAGACCGCCAGCUAAGGUCCCGAAGUGUGUGCUAAGUGGGAAAGGUUGUGGGAACGUCAAAACAGCCAGGAGGUUGGCUUAGAGGCAGCCAUCCUUUAAAGAAAGCGUAACAGCUCACUGGUCGAAUGGUCCUGCGCCGAAAAUGUAACGGGGCUCAAGCACACCACCGAAGCUGCGGACUGAUUGGUUCUUCGGAACCGGUCAGUGGUAGGGGAGCGUUCUGCGCUAGGUUGAAGCCGGACGGACGACGACCGGUGGACGACGCAGAAGUGAGUAUCUAGGCACGAGUAGCGAGAAAACAGGUGAGAGACCUGUUCGCCGAAAACCCAAGGGUUCCUGAGGAAGGCUAAUCCGCUCAGGGUCAGUCGGCCCCUAAGGCGAGGCCGAAAGGCGUAGCCGAUGGGAAACGGGCAAACAUUCCCGUACCUGCACGGGACUGCCAAUGGGGUGACGCAGAAGGGUAGAUCAGCCACCUGAUGGAUGGUGGUUUAAGCAUGUAGGCGGAGGGCUUAGGCAAAUCCGGGCCCUCUUAACGCUGAGGUGUGAUGACGAGGAGCUUGCUCCGCAAAGUGAUUGAUCCCAUGCUGCCUGGAAAAACCUCUAGGUGAUAGGUCCGCGCAGACCGUACCGUAAACGGACACACGUGGGUGGGUAGAGAAUACUAAGGCGCUUGAGAGAACACUCGCUAAGGAACUCGGCACAUUAACACCGUAACCUAGGGAGAAGGUGUGCCCCAAGUAGGUGAAGCGGCUUGCCCGUGGAGCUGAAAGGGGUUGCAGUGAAAUGCCCCAGGCGACUGUUUACUAAAAACACAGGACUCUGCGAAGCCGCAAGGCGAUGUAUAGGGUCUGACGCCUGCCCGGUGCCGGAAGGUUAAGGGGAUGGGUUAGCGCUUCGGCGCGAAGCUCUGAACCGAAGCCCCGGUAAACGGCGGCCGUAACUAUAACGGUCCUAAGGUAGCGAAAUUCCUUGUCGGGUAAGUAACGAUCUGGGGACUGUCUCAGCGAGUGACUCAGUGAAACUGUAGCAGCGGUGAAGAUGCCGUUUACCCGCGACUAGACGGAAAGACCCCGUGCACCUUUACUACAACUUGGCAAUGACACCCGGAAUAUCAUGUGUAGGAUAGGUGGGAGACUUUGAAGCAUGGCCGCCAGGCUGUGUGGAGUCGACCUUGAAAUACCACCCUUGUUAUUUUGUGUGUCUAAUCCAGGCCCGUGAAUCCGGGUCGGAGACAUUGUCAGGCGGGUAGUUUGACUGGGGCGGUCGCCUCCUAAACUGUAACGGAGGCGCCCGAAGGUGCCCUCAGGCUGAAUGGAAACCAGCCGUCGAGUGUAAAGGCAAAAGGGCGCUUGACUGCAAGACAGACACGUCGAGCAGGUGCGAAAGCAGGGCUUAGUGAUCCGGUGGUUCUGAGUGGAAGGGCCAUCGCUCAACGGAUAAAAGGUACGCCGGGGAUAACAGGCUGAUCUCCCCCAAGAGUUCACAUCGACGGNNNNNNNNNNNNNNNNNNNNNNNNNNNNNCCCAAGGGUUUGGCUGUUCGCCAAUUAAAGCGGUACGCGAGCUGGGUUUAGAACGUCGUGAGACAGUUCGGUCCCUAUCUGUCGUGGGCGCAGGAGAUUUGAGGGAAGCUGACCCUAGUACGAGAGGACCGGGUCGGACGAACCUCUGGUGUUCGAGUUGUGGCGCCAGCCGCAGCGCUCGGUAGCUAUGUUCGGAAGGGAUAACCGCUGAAAGCAUAUAAGUGGGAAGCCCCUCCCAAGAUGAGAUCUCCCUGGACUUCGGUCCCUGAAGGCUCCUUCAAGACCAGGAGGUUGAUAGGCCGGAAGUGUACGCACAGCAAUGUGUUCAGCUGACCGGUACUAAUAGGCCGUGCGGCUUGACCGA
rnacentral:rRNA from 1 species